rnacentral:rRNA from 1 species
AUACGACUCUCGGCAACGGAUAUCUCGGCUCUCGCAUCGAUGAAGAACGUAGCGAAAUGCGAUACUUGGUGUGAAUUGCAGAAUCCCGUGAACCAUCGAGUCUUUGAACGCAAGUUGCGCCCCAAGCCUUCUGGCCGGGGCACGUCUGCCUGGGUGUCAC